AAAAUUACAUGCUUUUUCUCUCAAAUAUAUUGUUAUAAUCAUUUGUUUCAGAUGUACUGUAAUUAUUUUCUGUAUAAAAAUUAAUUUGGUGUUCAAAAAGUAUUUUUUCAAACUUGAGUCUUGAAAAAGAGGGGGUCGUCUUAUAAUCAGGGCCGUCUUAUAUUCGGGCCAAUACGGUAUUCCAAAGAUAAAAUGAUUGUCAAGCUGUGCAUUGGCUAUUGCAAGGCUAGAAAAUAGAAAUGGGUUAUCCAGGGCACAUUAUUUUCUUCUUUUAGAACCUUGUGAGAGUUCCAAUGGUGUUUUCUUUUUGAAAACACUGUGAGUGCUCACAAAACAGGUGUUCCCAAGUUGUAAGACUGCAGUCGUGGACCAACUUCAAAAUAAAAGCCUUUCAUUUCCUGCAUGCUUAGCACACACCAGAGUGGGUAGACGCAUGACUAGGUGCAACCAGACACAAAUUGUUGGUACAUCAGGAUGCAUCAAUCUUUAUAGAUACAGUACAUGAAAUAGUUUAGCCAAAGUCCAAUUGAAUUGAUGGAUAAACAAAAAAACAACAACAAUCUUUUAGAAUAAAUGAUUGCAAACCUGACAAAGCCGGUGAUUUCUUUGGCGAUGUUACCACAAUAUUAAUUGUCACCUUAACUUAUAAAGACUGGCGAAUAGAGGACCCCCGAGAUCAUGGACCGUCUAAGGCCGUAUCAUUGAGCUAUAUCACAGAUGCGCACCCAACGCUCAGAUUUUUCUAUCAUAUCCAUCUUACUGUCAAUGGGGGUGCUCGUACACUUGGAGAAUCACUGCUUCAAACCAACAGAUGGUGCCAAAUAUCGCUAGAAAUGCAGGGAGCAUUCUGGGUAUUCUUCUCUGCCGAUAAAAGCAAUCAACCCACAUUCAUCAGACUGCUCCUGAAUGAAAAGUGGAUCGCUUAGAUUUUCAGCUAAAAUGCUCGCGACAGUACUGGUACUCAUCAUGCUUCCGACAGAAGUGACAGCAUCGGACAACUUAGAUGUUCACCAAACACCGCCGUACAUGAUAAAGAGACUCGGGGAAGACAGCGUCGACGAAAUGAGCUGCUCGCACAGCAUCACGAAUUACGACGUCGUCCUCUGGUACAGACAAAACCGGGUUGGCACGCUGGUGCUCAUGGGCUACCUCAAUCAGAGGAGUCCUUUCCCCGAGGAUGAUUUUAAGGGGAAGGUGGACUUUAGUGGAAAUGCCCAACAACGCUCCGGCCUGAUCAUCAAAAACCUGACCUUAAGUGAUAGUGCUGUGUACUUCUGCGCAGCUAGCACAGUGCUGCAGAUUGGCCCACGAGUCGUCACAAAACAGGCAACCCUUAUCAGCGUUUGAUAUCAAAACCAACACGUGCGCCAUCCGACUCCAAAAUCAUGAACAUUAUUCAGUUCGUGAAAAAAACACAGUUGCCCAAUGAAGUCUGUAAAAUAAAAGUUAAUCAG